rnacentral:rRNA from 1 species
AACGAACGCUGGCGGCAGGCCUAACACAUGCAAGUCGAGCGAGGACUUCGGUCCUAGCGGCGGACGGGUGAGUAACGCGUGGGAACGUGCCCUUUGCUUCGGCAUAGCCCUGGGAAACUGGGAGUAAUACCGGAUGAGCCCUUUGGGGGAAAGAUUUAUCGGCGAAGGAUCGGCCCGCGUUGGAUUCGGUCGUUGGUGGGGUAAUGGCCUACCAAGCCGACGAUGCAUAGCUGGGUUGAGAGGAUGAUCAGCCACACUGGGACUGAGACACGGCCCAGACUCCGACGGGAAGGAGCAGUGGGGUAUAUUAGACAAGGGGGGAAACUCUGAUAAAGCCAUGCCGCGUGAGCGAUGAAGGCCGUAGGGUUGUAAAGCUCGUUCAGCUGGGAAGAUAAUGACGGUACCAGCAGAAGAAGCCCCGGCUAACUCCGUG